rnacentral:rRNA from 1 species
AACGAACGCUGGCGGCAUGCCGAACACAGGCAAGUCGAACGAGACAUGCGGGAGUAGUGGCGCACGGGUGCGUAACGCGUGGGAAUCUGCCCUAGGGGUCGGAAUAACAGGUGGAAACGACGGCUAAUACCGGAUGAUGACGUAAGUCCGAAGAUUUAUCGCCCAAGGAUGAGCCCGCGUAGGAUUAGCUAGUUGGUGAGGUAAAGGCCCACCAAGGCGACGAUCCUUAGCUGGUCUGAGAGGAUGAUGAGCCACACUGGGAGUGCGACACGGCCCAGACUCCCUCGCGAGGAUGCGCCGGGCUGCCCGGGUCAGGGCGCCAAAGCUCGAUAAAGCAGUGCACCCUGAGCGUUGAAGCACUUAGCGUCCUAACCCCAUUUUACCCGGGCUGAUAAUGCCCGUACCUCCCGACUCAGCCCCGGCUCCCUCCGUG